rnacentral:rRNA from 1 species
CAGCAGCCGCGGUAAUACGAGGGGGGCAAGCGUUGUUCGGAAUUAUUGGGCGUAAAGGGCGCGUAGGCGGCCAUCCAAGUUAGAUGUGAAAGCCCUGGGCUCAACCUAGGAAUUGCAUUUGAUACUGUUUGGCUUGAGUUCGGGAGAGGUGAGUGGAAUUCCCAGUGUAGAGGUGAAAUUCAUAGAUAUUGGGAAGAACACCAGUGGCGAAGGCGGCUCACUGGACCGACACUGACGCUGAGGCGCGAAAGCGUGGGGAGCAAACAGGAUUAGAUACCCGAGUAGUCCCUGUCUCUUAUAC